UACAGAGGUCUCAAGCGUUGUUCGGAUUCAUUGGGCGUAAAGGGUGCGUAGGCGGCGCGGUAAGUCGGGUGUGAAAUCUUGGAGCUUAACUCCGAAACUGCAUUCGAUACUGCCGUGCUUGAGGACUGGAGAGGAGACUGGAAUUUACGGUGUAGCGGUGAAAUGCGUAGAUAUCGUAAGGAGGACCAGUGGCGAAGGCGGGUCUCUGGACAGUUCCUGACGCUGAGGCACGAAGGUCAGGGGAGCAAACGGG
rnacentral:rRNA from 1 species